GAAGGUGAAGUCGUAACAAGGUCUCCGUUGGUGAACCAGCGGAGGGAUCAUUAC
rnacentral:rRNA from 1 species